AACUAAGCAUAUCAAUAAGCGGAGGAAAAGAAACUAACAAGGAUUCCCCUAGUAACUGCGAGUGAAGCGGGAAAAGCUCAAAUUUAAAAUCUGGCGUCCUUAGGGCGUCCGAGUUGUAGUCUGGAGAAGCGUCUUCCGUGCUGGACCAUGCAUAAAUCUCUUGGAACAGAGUAUCAUAGUGGGUGAGAAUCCCGUCUUUGGCAUGGACUACCAGUGCUCUGUGAUGCGCUCUCAAAGAGUCGCGUUGUUUGGGAAUGCAGCGCAAAAUGGGUGGUAAAUUCCAUCUAAAGCUAAAUAUUGGCGAGAGACCGAUAGCGAACAAGUACCGUGAGGGAAAGAUGAAAAGCACUUUGGAAAGAGAGUUAAACAGUACGUGAAAUUGUUGAAAGGGAAACGCUUGAAGUCAGUCGCGUCGUGCGGGACUCAGCCUUGCUUCUGCUUGGUGUAUUUCCUGUACGAUGGGCCAGCAUCGAUUUUGAUCGUCGGAAAAAGUUCAGGGGAAUGUGGCACCUUCGGGUGUGUUAUAGCCCUUGUUCGCAUACGACGGUUGGGAUCGAGGAUCGCAGCACGCCUUUAUGGCCGGGGUUCGCCCACGUACGUGCUUAGGAUGCUGGCGUAAUGGCUUUAAACGACCCGUCUUGAAACACGGACCAAGGAGUCUAACAUGCCUGCGAGUGUUUGGGUGUAAAACCCAUCCGCGUAAUGAAAGUGAAAGUUGAGAUCUCUGUCAUGGAGAGCAUCGACGCCCGGUCUUGAGCUUUGGCGACGGAUCUGAGGUUGAGCAUGUAUGUUGGGACCCGAAAGAUGGUGAACUAUGCCUGAAUAGGGUGAAGCCAGAGGAAACUCUGGUGGAGGCUCGUAGCGAUUCUGACGUGCAAAUCGAUCGUCAAAUUUGGGUAUAGGGGCGAAAGACUAAUCGAACCAUCUAGUAGCUGGUUCCUGCCGAA
rnacentral:rRNA from 1 species